AAAACCUGUAAAAUGUUGCUGCUCCACCUCAUUAUUCUGGCUUUGGUUUUGUCUUAUGGAUGUGCACAAAUAUAUCUGAGACAAGCUCAGUUGUCCAUUACCAGGGCAAAAGAUAAAACAGCACAUACAGUCUGUGAGGCUUCUGGCAUUCAGAACUUCGGGAGUGCUGUUAUACACUGGUAUCGACACAGACCUGGUGAAGCUCUGGAGCAGAUUCUGUACAUCUCUUCCGCACAACCUGUCUUUGACAAAGACUCCGAUAAGAAGAAGUUUGAUUGUGAAAAGAAGCCUGGCCAGCCCAUCUCUACCCUAAGAGUAAAUGGAUUAAACCCCAACGACAGCGCAAUCUAUUAUUAUGCUUAUUGGGACAGCACAGUGUUAGAAAGCCAUAGACAGCCUGUACAAAAACCUCACUCUGUAUUCUGA